UUAAUAUCUGAUACGUCCUCUAUC
rnacentral:piRNA from 3 species